rnacentral:rRNA from 1 species
GAGUAGUAAAAGUUAAGAUCUUGAAACUCAAAAAAUUUGGCGGUAUUUUAUCUUAUUAGAGGAACCUGUUUAUUAAUUGAUAUUCCACAACUUACAUUUACUUCUAUUAAAUUAUUUGUAUACCGCUGUCAUGAAUCUACUAAAAAGUUUAUUUUCAAAAUUUUUUAUGCAAGUUAUGUUAGGUCAAGGUGUAGUAUAUAGAAGACUAAAAUGGGUUACAGUAAUUAUUAUGAAUGAAUUACGCUAUUAGUGUAGAGUAUGAAAGAGGAUUUAUAAGUAAAAAAAUUGUUAAAGAAUUUGUAUGAAUAUAGAUUCUAAAAUAUG